rnacentral:rRNA from 1 species
CUAGGUGUAAACGCUGUGAACUUGGUGUCGGGGAUCCGCAAUGGGUCCUCGGUGCCGGAGUGAAGAUGUUAAGUUCACUGCCUGGGGAGUACGGUCGCAAGGCUGAAACUUAAAGGAAUUGGCGGGGGAGCACUGCAACGGGAGGAGCGUGCGGUUUAAUUGGAUUCAACGCCGGAAAACUCACCAAGGCCGACUGUUAGAUGAAGAUCAGCGUAAUGAGCUUAUCGGAUUUUCAGAGAGGUGG